GGCUAAAUAAGUAUUAUAUAUGUUUUUCUUUUUUUUUAUAAUUACCACGUCUUCAACGCUAAUAACAGAAUUGGAUGGGAUGAUCAAGGUUUUUAAAUUAGAAAAUUACAAGAGACUCAAAGUCUGGUUAAGUUAUUUUAAAUUAUAAAAAGCAGGUUUAAACCUUUGAUUAAUGGAAAAGAAGCCAAUAGAUAUGAGAUUAAGUUACGAUCCUAAAUGACGUUUCUUCAUACGAAAACAAAAUCUAACGUCUUCAAAGGUUUACAAAUAGAAGCUAUCGGAAUUGAUGUUGGAGGAUGAGUCAAGCACUAUUCAAAUUGUUUUGUAGCUUUCCUUGCCAAAAACCCCGACUUUAAAACUGCUUAUACCUGUUGAAACGGAUUAUUGUUGUUGCUGUAAAAAUGGUUUGAUAGCGUCCGCAAUGAUCUUUGCAUCAACAAAGGCUGACGAAGAGGGUUGCAGUCAGGAGGAGGAGGUGGUGAUAAGUUAAUAUCUCGCUUAGACACAACAACGAACCCGUGCCGGUGGUCAUCGGAGGGAAUUAAGACGAAGAAAACCUCGAAACAGCUUCAGUCUGCGAAACCAGGAGGCCAUGAAUCAGUACUAACGUUAACAACAAUGAUUUGGCAUCCAUGGCCGCAGCUUGAAACACUGUUUUAAUUGGUAAACUUAUUAAGCUUUGCUAUUUUCUAGGAAUUGGCUCCAUUAUAUUUUGCAACUUAACGUAUUUCGUGUCAUUUGGGCAAUCAAGUCCAAGUUUUGUUAGAAAUAUUAAAAGAAAUAUCUGUACUCAACUACUUAUAGACCAUUAGGUAUAAGUUGUGAAUAUCUGAUGCAAA
rnacentral:lncRNA from 1 species